AAGAGACGGCUAACUCUGUGCCAGCAGCCGCGGUAAUACAGAGGUCUCAAGCGUUGUUCGGAAUCACUGGGCGUAAAGCGUGCGUAGGCUGUUUCGUAAGUCGUGUGUGAAAGGCGCGGGCUCAACCCGCGGACGGCACAUGAUACUGCGAGACUAGAGUAAUGGAGGGGGAACCGGAAUUCUCGGUGUAGCAGUGAAAUGCGUAGAUAUCGAGAGGAACACUCGUGGCGAAGGCGGGUUCCUGGACAUUAACUGACGCUGAGGCACGAAGGCCAGGGGAGCGAAAGGGAUUAGAUACCCCUGUAGUCCUGGCAGUAAACGGUGCACGCUUGGUGUGCGGGGAAUCGACCCCCUGCGUGCCGGAGCUAACGCGUUAAGCGUGCCGCCUGGGGAGUACGGUCGCAAGAUUAAAACUCAAAGAAAUUGACGGGGACCCGCACAAGCGGUGGAGUAUGUGGCUUAAUUCGAUGCAACGCGAAGAACCUUACCUGGGCUUGACAUGUAAUGAACAACAUGUGAAAGCAUGCGACUCUUCGGAGGCGUUACACAGGUGCUGCAUGGCCGUCGUCAGCUCGUGUCGUGAGAUGUUUGGUUAAGUCCAGCAACGAGCGCAACCCCUGUUGCCAGUUACCAGCACGUGAAGGUGGGGACUCUGGCGAGACUGCCCAGAUCAACUGGGAGGAAGGUGGGGACGACGUCAGGUCAGUAUGGCCCUUAUGCCCAGGGCUGCACACGUACUACAAUGCCCAGUACAGAGGGGGCCGAAGCCGUGAGGCGGAGGAAAUCCUAAAAACUGGGCCCAGUUCGGACUGUAGGCUGCAACCCGCCUACACGAAGCCGGAAUCGCUAGUAAUGGCGCAUCAGCUACGGCGCCGUGAAUACGUUCCCGGGUCUUGUACACACCGCCCGUCACAUCAUGGAAGCCGGUCGCACCCGAAGUAUCUGAAGCCAACCGCAAGGAGGCAGGGUCCUAAGGUGAGACUGGUAACUGGGAUGAAGUCGUAACAAGGUAGCCGUAGGGGAACCUGCGGCUG
rnacentral:rRNA from 1 species